CUGACGUUGACAUCCAGUGAGUUGCUCUCCUGGCUCUGUCCUGGUGGCAUAUGGGAGCAUAGCCUCGUGCUAAGACGUACAUUCCCGUUCCACAUCGUCGGACAAAAAGUUCUGUCCCCGACUUCGCGGUCGGCGAGGGCGAACGCCCUGCAUAUUCCUACACCUUCCCAGAGUCCUUUGGGGCCGUUACUGGGGAGGCAAACCAUGCAGUGCACAUUC